GAUGAACGCUAGCGGCAGGCCUAACACAUGCAAGUCGAGGGAUAAGCCUUCGGGCUGAAACCGGCGCACGGGUGCGUAACGCGUAUACAAUCUGCUUUUCACAUAGGGAUAGCCCCGAGAAAUUUGGAUUAAUACCUAAUGGUAUAUAAGCGUGUCCUCAUUUUUAUAUUAAAGCUUUGGUGUUGAAAGCUGAGUCUGCGUUCUAUUAGCUAGUUGGAGAGGUAACGGCUCCCCAAGGCGACGCUAGAUAGGGGUUCUGAGAGGGAUGUCCCCCACACUGGUACUGAGAUACGGACCAGACUCCUACGGGAGGCAGCAGUGAGGAAUAUUGGACGAUGGUCGGAAGACUGAUCCAGCCAUGCCGCGUGCAGGACGACGGUCCUAUGGAUUGUAAACUGCUUUUGUAAGGGAAGAAUAAGGAGUACGUGUACUUUGAUGACGGUACCUUACGAAUAAGCAUCGGCUAACUCCGUG
rnacentral:rRNA from 1 species